rnacentral:ncRNA from 1 species
UAUAUUUGCAGCCUCAUUUUUGAGGUACAUAAGAAUCAUUUAAACAAUAUUGGAAUG